rnacentral:rRNA from 1 species
UACGUAGGGUGCAAGCGUUGUCCGGAAUUAUUGGGCGUAAAGAGCUUGUAGGCGGUUUGUCGCGCCUGCUGUGAAAUUUCGGGGCUCAACCCCGAACUUGCAGUGGGUACGGGCAGACUAGAGUGUGGUAGGGGAGACUGGAAUUCCUGGUGUAGCGGUGAAAUGCGCAGAUAUCAGGAGGAACACCGAUGGCGAAGGCAGGUCUCUGGGCCAUAACUGACGCUGAGAAGCGAAAGCAUGGGGAGCGAACAGG